GUUUAAUUAGGAAAAGUAGGAGGUCAUAUUAAGAUUAUGAUGUUACAUGUUUAGAAUAAGUUUAUCGUCACUUUGUUUUCGCUGCAUUCCAAUUUACGUAAUGGUACUUCACAUUAACAUUGCAUAUGGUAAGUUCGUUACUAGUAUUUGGUGAUGUAUAUAAUCAUAUAGAAAUACGAUGUGAAUAGUUUCAGGCAUUGUGGUGUUUGAUUUUAUUGGCAUAAUGAUUAUUCAUAUAAAUUUUCUGCAUAAAGUGUUCUUAAUAUAAUUGACUUAUUCUACACCUAUGUUCCCAAUUGGUUAACCACUAUCAUCACAUUAGCAGAAUAUGUAUAGCACAAUAAUAACCAUGUAGAAAGUAAAAAGCACUUGCAAAUACAUGUGGAUACCACAGUAGUCGAAAACUAAGUGCAAGUCUCAACAUUUCAAAUAUAUACAGGAAUGCAUUACUGAUUAAACCUAUGUUACAUGUAUCACUGUUAUUGAAGAAUUCUCUCGUUAAUUAUAGGUAGAAUAUUUGAUAAAUUUCAAAGUUAGUCCACAUAUAUAUAGCAAUGUAUUUACAAAUAGUAUUCCGUCACGGAAGUAUUGUGAGUUUUUUUUUAACUUACGUGAUUGAAUGUUCCUUUGAUAACAGUUGCAUCUGUUUUCCAACCGAAAAUAUCAAAAGUAAUUUUUGACUCUAUGCGAAUGUCAUACAAGUGAGCAUUUUAGAUAGCUAUAAAUUUAGUGUUAAUCCACAAUUUUCUACAUUAUAAAAUGACAAUACCAAAUGAGGAAUAUGACUUUUUUUCAUUCGUUGAUAUGUUUGAGCUUUUGAUUUUGUAUCUUUCUGUGUUGAAUUUUCCUUGGAGUUCAGCAUUUUUUAUUUUACAGUUUUUUUUAUAUCCUACGUCUUUAAUCCGAAAGCUUCAUACAAUUUACAGAGUAUUUUUCCAUAACAAACCUUCCUUAAAUUAUUUUUUUAUAUUAUAAAGAAAUUCUAAGGUUUCAACUUAGUCAUGCAAAUAAGGCUGUGACUUAUAGGUUCUGUUUUGUCAUAUAGCUCUAUAAAUGUUAGUUUUAUAUAUCUGUAACUUCCAAAUAUUCAGUUUUGAGCAUUCCCGAUUAAGAUAAAUAGUUAUCAAAAGUACCAGGAUUAUAAUUUAGUACGCCAGACGCGCUUUUCGUCUACAUAAGACUCAUCAGUGACGCUCAAAUCGAAAUAUUUAUAAUGCCAAACAAGUACAAAGUUGAAAAUUCCAAAAAGUUGUGCCAAAUACGGCUAAGGUAAUCUAUGCCUGAAAUAAGAAAAAUCCAAAGUUUUGUAAACAGGAAAUUUAUAAAAAUGACCACAUGAUUGAUAUUCAUGUCAACACCGAAAUGUUGAUUACUGGGCUGGUGAUACCCUCGGGAACGAAACGUCCACCAGCAGUGUCAUCGACCCAGUGGUUUAAAUAGUUAUCAAAAGUACCAGGAUUAUAAUUUAGUACGCCAGACGCGCGUUUCGUCUACAUAAGACUCAUCAGUGACGCUCAAAUCGAAAUAUUUAUAAAGCCAAACAAGUACAAAGUUGAAGAGCAAAGAUAAGGCCAGAAACUCCUGCUUCCGAUGCAGGGAAUUUAACAGAAACAAAAAACAUAUUUCAUAUUACAAACACAGUGUGAAUGACGAGAUGGUUUAUUAAAUUCAACUUUCGAACAAACGUGAACCAUAGCAUAUUAAUUCCUCCUAUUUUCAGCUUACUAUUGACAAACAAACGGUGGUAACUGUGGAAAAACCGUUCCAUAUAAGCUAAUUAUAACAUACAAAAAUGAAAAGAUUUUUAACAAUACAGAAAUAGCUAUGCCUUCAGCAAGGUAAAUAUUAUACACACGAAAGCGAUCUUGACGAUAUAAACAUUUAUAAAACAGUCAUCAAUAUUACUAAUGCUCAAUUGUUUUCUGUUUAUUACAUAGCUAGGGUGUUUUUACAUUGUCUUUUGGUUUUUUUGUUGCACUUAAGUGUUUCUGUUGUUUCGUUGUUUUCCUCUUAUAGUUUAUGUGUUUUCCUCAGUUUUAAUUUGUAACCAGGGUUUGUUUUCUCUCAAUCGAUUUAUGACUUUCGAGCAGUGAUAUACUACUGUUGCCUUUAUUUACCACAGGGGGAAAUCCAGAACUAUUUAUAAUUGAUCAAUGAAAUUAUUCCUCGCACACAAAAGGUGUCCUUCACACGAGCAAUCUUUAGAUGCAUAUAUGUCUGGAAUGUGAUUUAUUGAUGUAAUAACAACAGUGAUGUGAAUCACUGUUGUAAUUUAAGGAUUGCUAUUUUAGGCAUUUGAGUUAAAUGUAAAAUGCCCUGGAUAUUUCUUUUAAUGUGUAUUUUUUUUUUAAAUGUCUAGACUAGCUACAAUAAGAGUUUUACAAUUUGUUGAGUUCUUAAUUGUUAAAAAAUCGUAUGUAAACAUUCAAUUGUCACAAUUUUGGUGUAAGUUCAAUCUCUGUCUCAUUAAUGAUUUCCUUUUUAUUUAUAGAAAGAUGAUUAUGACGUAACUGAUGUAUCUUUGUUAAAACAAAUCUCUUUCGUUGGCAACAUCUUCAUAUCAGUUCUUUUGUCUUUUGAAUAGCUGUUGUACAGGACUAUUCUAAAUCUCCUGUAUUUCAUAUCGUACAAGGAAAUCAUCUGUCGAAUAUAAAUAUUUUCUUAAAUAUUGUCUUAUAUACUGAAGUAAAUAACCUCUUAUAAGGGUUGGAUUCUCCAUCGUAAGUGUUUUCAAAUCGCUAUAAAUGAUAUUUAUAAAUGAGAAAUGAAUUUUAGUCCGUAUUCCUAAUCAAUUAAAUACAACAAAAAAAGAUCAUAUGUUCAGGUAUUAAAAGUGGGCGAAUAUUACAGAGAGACAUUCAAACUAAAAAAAAACUAAAAAUAGAUUGAUAUUGUCUUUAUUAAAAUCAACAACAAAAAAAACCAAACAAUACUAAACAUAAUACAACAUAGAAAACUGAACCUCACCAAAACAUAGGCUUGAUCACAGGUGUUACAUAAGGGUAAACAGAUCCUGUAGCACUCGUCGUGUUGCUAAUAUUAGACCAAACCCGAUAAUGUCUAAAUCUGUAGGUCACAAUCAAUAAAGGCGACGGGAUUGUAGUUAGAAACAUAUUCGCUAUCAUCUGUGAAACGGGUCUUCCGUAACGGUCAACCAACUCAUGAUGGCGUCGGUUAUACAAAAAAGGGACGAAAGAUACCAAAGGGACAGUCAAACUCAUAGAUCGAAAAUAAACUGACAACGCGAUGGCUAAAAAAAAGACAAACAGACAAAUAUAAGUAUACAAGACAAACCUUAGAAAACUAACAACUAAACAACAUGAAUCUCACCAAAAACUGGGGAUGAUCUCAGGUGCUCCAGAAGGGUAAGCAGAUCCUGCUCCAAAUGUGACAUGCAUCGUGUUGCUCAUGUGUUUUCAAACCCGGUAAAUACUCUUAUUCGUUAGGUCACGAAAAAGGGAAGUGGAUUGUUGUUUCCUCAUAAGGAACAUAUCCGAUAUUAACUAUGAAAUGAUUAUUACAUAACAGUCAACCAAACUCGUGAUGGCGUCCGUAAAUAAAGGCAACAGUAGUAUACCGCUGUUCAAAACUCAUAAAUCCAUGGACAAAAAACAAAAUCGGGGUAACAAACAAAACCGAGCGAAACGCAUUAAAUAUAAGGAGAGAACAACGACACAACAUCGAAACGCAACACACACAGAAAACAGACCAAUCAUCAGACAACACCACGAGAAUAACAAAUGUAACAUGAAAACCAAAUACAUGAAUUUGGGAUAGACAAGUACCGUGCCACGUCUUAUCUCAAUAUCUCAAAAAUAAGAGAAAACACAAACGACUCAACGUUAAAAUGCAACACAAAGAGAAACGAACAAUAUAUAACAAUGACCAUCUUCCUGAUUGUACAAGGACACUUUUAAGGGAAUAAAGUGGUGGUUGAACCUGGUUUUAAGGCAUGCAAACCUCGCACUUAAUGCAAAGUUAAAUAUAACAUUGAAAUGACAACAUAAUAUUACAGACUACAAUACAAAUAAAUAGGAAAUAUUAACACAGAAAACAUGAUUAAUAGAUAACAAAAAGUAUCAGGUUUAAAAUUCAAUGCCAAAAACGCGCCUUCCCACACAAGACUCACCAGUGACGCCCAGAUAUAAAAGAUCGAAAGUGAAAAAAGUACAAAGUUGUAAUGUACGAAUAACAUUAACGGUACCAAUUUUCCUGCACCGGAUGCGCAUUUCGACAAUACAUGUCUCUUCAGUGAUGCUCGUGACCAAAACAUAUGAAAUCCAAAGCGUAUAUUAAAAAAGAAGAGCUAUAAUCCAAAAGGUCCAAAAAGUAUAGCCAAAUCCGUGAAAGGAAUCAGAGCUUAGCAUGAGGGAGAUACAUUCCUUAAUUUAUAAUAAUUUCUAACAUUUUUUAACAGCAAAUUUUAAAACACAAAAAAAAUAACGACGAAGGAAUGAUUCAACUUCACCAUUUGGAAUUCUUGGCUUCAUUGUUUCUUUGUAAGCAGCAACCCACUAUCUAGGAAAUCAUUACAGCAAAUACAAGCCCGGUAAUAUCGUAUCAAUUGGAAAACAUAUGAAAUCCAAAGUGUGUAUUUAAAGAUGAAGAGCUAUAAUCCAAAAGGUCCAAAAAGUAUAGCCGAAUCCGUGAAAGGAAUCAGAGCUUUGCAUGAGGGAGAUACAUUCCUUAAUUUAUAAUAAUUUCUAACAUUUUGUAACAGCAAAUUUUAAUAACACAAAAAAAUAACGACGAAGGAAUGAUUCUACUUCACCAUUUGGAAUUCUUGGUUUAAUUGUUUCUUUGUAAGCAGCAACUCACUAUCUAGGAAAUCAUUGCAGCAAAUACAAGCCCGGUAAUAUUGUAUCAAUUGGAAAACAUAUACUCCGUUUGGAGGCGUUGUCGAAAUGUUGCAUCAUAGAAUGGAUAUUAUACAUGUACAUCUGGGAUGCUGAAAUCAUCUCUUUUGUCGUAAAGUUUUGUUUACAACCGAUCCUCAUUGUAGAUCAUACUAAAUAAUGAAGCAACGUAGGUUCAUAUCCCUAUCACAAAGUUAACAAAAGCUAAAUUUGGCUAUUCGUUUUAAGCCAUUUUUCUGUCAUAUACUACCAUUGGAUCAUAUCGUUUGAACAUACGUGAAACUGUAAAUAGUAUCAAAAUUCCUAUCAUAUCAAACUGGUAAAAAUGUUUUGGAAUAUAAUUGUAUAUUAUAUACUGUAAGUGAUUGACUACAAAACAUGUACGCAUAAUAUGUUAACAAAAUGACAUAUUGAACUGUAACUUGCAUCAUUAUUACUAUCAUUUUUAUCUUUACUAUAUUUAUUAUUAUUAUCUUGAUUUUAUUUUAUGUUGGUUUUUUUAUUAUUAUUAUUAACUUUAUUUCCAUUACUAUUUUUAUUACCAUUCAUGUUGAUGAAUUUUACAAGUAAAAGGAGGAACGAAUAAAGCAUGAUGUGCUAUUUGUCUUGUGCCGAGAUGCCAAAUUUGUAUAAAGUCGCUUUCUAUAAUAAGAAAAAAAACUAUUACACAUCACUGGUAAUGAGAUUUUAUACAUUAUCGUUGAUCAUCUCAACGAGAUUGAUUUUCUCGCUUGAGCCGGGACGGCGAAAAUGAGAAAAAAAAACAUCAAGUUCAGAUGACCAAUGAUAAUUUGUUCUACGAUAUUUUACCUAUGACAGCGUUGUCAAUUUCAUGCCAAUUUCAUUAGCAACGCCACGUGUCCCCUUAGUUUCUAGCGAAAAUUUUCAUAUCACUUCUCGACUCCGUUUCAUAUCACUCGACUCCGCUGAAAAAGAAAACUAUCAGUCAGUAAUUAUAUGUAAGAUCAAGGGAACAUUUAGUAUAGUAGCGAUAUAAAUUGAAUACUGCAUUUGAUCGGUUUCUUACCCUUCUCAUUUAAUUAUCUAUUUAAAUAUACAGUCGUUCCGAUGCAAUUAUUUAGGUAAGUAAAUAAAUUUUCAGAUAAAUCGAGUGUUAAUCGGAUCAAUUGAAAUGAAAGUAAUAAAGAACUAAUGAAAUAAUGAAAUAUUUAUGAUGUAAGAUUUUUUGUUAUUGUACUAAUGCAUACUUAAAAGAAGUCUUGGAUUUUAUUUGUACAUUGUAUGUAAACUUUAAGAAUGUAUUUUUUUUAAAUGUGGUGUUUUAUGAAGAUAUUAAAUCCUUUGCGAUAUUGUUUGUUGUAAUCAUCCGUAUACAAAGAAUGUAGAAAAUUUCAACGCACAACCAAAAAGUGCGAUUCGGAUACAAAGCCUAAGGAUUUAAACAGUGCUGUUUCCAAUUUGUUUAUCCCGGUAUAUUUAUAUUUUCUUCAUUAAAAAAGUAUAUACUAUAUACGAUCAUUUUAACCUAUAUUGAGGGGGCAGGACCUUUUUCGGAACUCCAUGAUCGGGUGUUUUUAAGCCCGGGAUUUUGGGAUUGAUCCUUUCGGGAUCUGGGAAUUCAUUUUUCGAAUUUCGGGAUGUCGGGUUUUAAUUUCUUAUUCCCCCUCUAUGUUUUAAACCUUUGUACGCGCUUAUUUUCUUUGGUAGAUACAUUUUUAACAUACUUCAAGUUUGCAAAAAACAAAAAAAAACAAAAAAAAACAUGUCUUUCUCAUAUAACCUUUAUUAUGGUUUAUAAAACACAUUAUCAAGCUAAAAGUUGCUAAAUAUUACACACAUCAUCUUAUUUGUCUGUAUUUUUGUUUGUUAAUAAUGUAUCGAAUGUUCAUUUGAAAUCAAUUUCCAUGUAAAAUGAUCUGCAUUGCGUAUUCCUAACAAUUUCGUAAAAUAUUCCUCUUACACUAUUAAUGCCUUUAUUCUAUUGAUAUGUAUACCACUUGCCGAAUUUGAUUUGAAUCAGUGAAAAAUUUUUUUAAAUUUCCAUAUUAUAGCAUUUAAUUUUUUGAGCUUUCGAUUUGCCAUUUAAUUACGGUCUUUCCGUUUUGAAUUUCCUCGGAGUUUGGUAAUUUUCAUAUUUUACUUUUAUUUGUACAGUAAGCAAUUAUAUACUAAAACUUUCUUAAGAUUUACGCUUAACACUCCAAAUGGUAUGAAGUAUACUAAUCAUAAAUUUGACAUUGUCAUUGGGGAAAUUUUAAUUAUUUCUUUCAAAUAUUGAUGUGCAAGUUCUAUAUGCAUUAUCUUGUUUUGAAAUAAACUGCAUCUUUAAUUACAAUUUCGUCUAUUUAGUACAUAUUUCAUAUGUAUGUAUCUGUCUGCGCAUUUACAUACUGUAUUCCUGUCACGUUGUGUUGUCAUUUUAACUGUAUUUUUUUACAUUGCCAUAUACCAUGUGAGCAGGUUUUCGACUAGUCCUAAAACUAGGUUCAAUCCUCUUUUUUUCUUAAAAUGUCCAGUACUAAGUCAGGAAUAUGGCAGUUGUUAUUAAAUGUUUCUAUGUAUGGUGGCGUUUGGUUUUGUUGCAGUUCAUUGUUUCUGUUGUUCCAUUGUUUAUCCCUUAUAGUUAAUGAGCUUCACUCGGCUUUAGUUUCUACCCCAGAUUUAGUUUCUCUUAAUAUAUAUGACUAUUAAACAGCAGUAUGAAGAUAUAAGAUACGGUAUGAUUGCCAAUGAAUCAAUUCUCAAUCCCAGUCACCGUUUGUAUAAGUAAACCAUUAUAGGUCAACGUACGUUCUUCAACACGAAGCCUUAGCUCACUCCGAACAGCAAUUUUAAAAAGUUCCCAAAAAUGACUAUUGUAAAACCAUUCAAACAGAAAAAACAACGGUCUAAUCUAUAUAUAAAACAAGAAUGUGUCCAUAGUACACGGAUAACUCACUCGCACUAUCAUAUUACAUAUUCAAUGGACCGUGAAAUUGGGGUCAAUACUUUAAUUUGGCAUUGAAAUUAGAAAGAUCAUAUCAUAAGGAACACGUGUACUGAGUUUCAAGUUGAUUGGACUUCAGCUUCAUCAAAAACUACCUUGACCAAAAACUUAAACCAAAACUUUAACCUGAGCUUCGCACUAUCCUUUUCUUUGUUCAGGUGACAGUGAAAUUGGGGUCAAACUUUAAUUUGGCAUUAAGAUUAGAAAGAUCAUAUCAUGGGAAAAAUGCAUGUGUACUAAGUUUCAAGUUGAAUGGACUUCAACUUCAUCAAAAACUACCUUGAGCAAAAACUUUAACCUGAACGGACGCACGGGCGAAAAGACAAAUGAACGAACGAACGGAGGCACAGACCAGAAAACAUAAUGCCCCUCUACUAUCGAGGGUGGGGCAUAAAAACAAAAGACCAGAAACACUUAUGAACCACAGCAACAAACGACAAUCACUGAACUUUAAGUUUCUAACUUAUAACAUGUGCAAACAAAUGCUUCGGGUUUCAAGGUACAAAAAGAGGGGCGAAAAAUUCCAGAGGAACGUUCAAAAUCAUAGUUCGAAAAAAAAACUAGCAACGUUAUGGCUUUAGUAGUACCAAUCUUCACCUUAAACAGUAGUGCAGCAUCACAACCUAUAAACACACAAAAUAUCAAUUGAAAUGGCUGAACGCAAUCAAACGACAUAUUAACACAAACAAAUAAACAUUCACUGAACGAAUAAAUUUCAUUGAUGAUACAAUGUAAAUAAAACAAGAAUGUGUCCCCAGUACACGAAUGCCCCACUCGCACUAUCAUUUUUUAUGUUCACUGGACCGUGAAAUUGGGGAAAUACUCUAAUUUGGCACUAAAAUUAGACAGAUCAUAUCAUAGAGAACAUGUGUACUAAGUUUGAAGUUGAUUGGACUUUAACUUCAUAUUUUGUGCUUGACCUUUCUAUUCACCUGACAAGACUCGACAGAAUUUAACCAUGCUCAACAGCACUGAACUAUACUCAAAUGUAAUCGACUUUUGUCUGGACUCCAUUUAAAAAGUCUGAUUGAGCACUCGACACUUCUGACAAAUUUCAACUUUUACCUAUUAUAUCUGUUUUUUUAGUUCACAUAUUGUUGUCAUUAUGAUGAAAUUGUAUGCGACUACCAUACAAGUAACACGUUAGUAUGUGUUUUGAUUGGCGUCCAUUUCACUGACCUUUGACACAUUCUCCAUUUCCAUUUUCUUUUCUUUUAUUAAGAUACAUUUCUGAAAAGAGGGCAGAAAGAUGCCAAAGGGAAUUUAAAACAGCAAGAACACUACCAACAGCUGGAUGUGAAUGCAGGUGCUAUAUAGAAAUGGAAAGUUCACAAUCUAGAAUCUGAAGUCAUCUCUUUUUUCGCGAAGUUUUGCUUUUGAUCAUGGACUCCCAUAGUCCAUUUCUUGAUGUAAGACAUG
rnacentral:lncRNA from 1 species